AGGACGAACGCUGGCGGCGUGCUUAACACAUGCAAGUCGAACGGAAAGGCUCCAGCUUGCUGGAGUACUCGAGUGGCGAACGGGUGAGUAACACGUGGGUAAUCUGCCCUGCACUCUGGGAUAAGCCUGGGAAACUGGGUCUAAUACUGGAUAUGACCUUUCUCCUUAUGGGGUUUGGUGGAAAGUUUUUCGGUGUAGGAUGAGCCCGCGGCCUAUCAGCUUGUUGGUGGGGUGAUGGCCUACCAAGGCGACGACGGGUAGCCGGCCUGAGAGGGUGAUCGGCCACAUUGGGACUGAGAUACGGCCCAGACUCCUACGGGAGGCAGCAGUGGGGAAUAUUGCACAAUGGGCGGAAGCCUGAUGCAGCGACGCCGCGUGAGGGAUGACGGCCUUCGGGUUGUAAACCUCUUUCAGCAGGGACGAAGCGUAAGUGACGGUACCUGCAGAAGAAGCACCGGCUAACUACGUGCCAGCAGCCGCGGUAAUACGUAGGGUGCGAGCGUUGUCCGGAAUUACUGGGCGUAAAGAGCUCGUAGGCGGUUUGUCACGUCGUCUGUGAAAUCCCUCGGCUUAACCGGGGGCGUGCAGGCGAUACGGGCAGACUUGAGUACUACAGGGGAGACUGGAAUUCCUGGU
rnacentral:rRNA from 1 species